ACGGCAGCGGGGGAGAAGCUUGCUUCUCCUGCCGGCGAGUGGCGAACGGGUGAGUAAUACAUCGGAACGUGCCCUGUAGUGGGGGAUAACUAGUCGAAAGAUUAGCUAAUACCGCAUACGACCUGAGGGUGAAAGUGGGGGACCGCAAGGCCUCAUGCUAUAGGAGCGGCCGAUGUCUGAUUAGCUAGUUGGUGGGGUAAAGGCCCACCAAGGCGACGAUCAGUAGCUGGUCUGAGAGGACGAUCAGCCACACUGGGACUGAGACACGGCCCAGACUCCUACGGGAGGCAGCAGUGGGGAAUUUUGGACAAUGGGCGAAAGCCUGAUCCAGCAAUGCCGCGUGUGUGAAGAAGGCCUUCGGGUUGUAAAGCACUUUUGUCCGGAAAGAAAUGGCUCUGGUUAAUACCUGGGGUCGAUGACGGUACCGGAAGAAUAAGGACCGGCUAACUACGUGCCAGCAGCCGCGGUAAUACGUAGGGUCCAAGCGUUAAUCGGAAUUACUGGGCGUAAAGCGUGCGCAGGCGGUUGUGCAAGACCGAUGUGAAAUCCCCGAGCUUAACUUGGGAAUUGCAUUGGUGACUGCACGGCUAGAGUGUGUCAGAGGGGGGUAGAAUUCCACGUGUAGCAGUGAAAUGCGUAGAGAUGUGGAGGAAUACCGAUGGCGAAGGCAGCCCCCUGGGAUAACACUGACGCUCAUGCACGAAAGCGUGGGGAGCAAACAGGAUUAGAUACCCUGGUAGUCCACGCCCUAAACGAUGUCAACUAGUUGUUGGGGAUUCAUUUCCUUAGUAACGUAGCUACGCGUGAAGUUGACCGCCUGGGGAGUACGGUCGCAAGAUUAAAACUCAAAGGAAUUGACGGGGACCCGCACAAGCGGUGGAUGAUGUGGAUUAAUUCGAUGCAACGCGAAAACCUUACCUACCCUUGACAUGCCACU
rnacentral:rRNA from 1 species